rnacentral:rRNA from 1 species
ACUCCGGUUGAUCCUGCCGGACCCCACUGCUAUCGGGAUAGGACUAAGACAUGCUAGUCGUGCGCUUCAGCUAAAACGAGGCGCGGCAUACAGCUCAGUAACACGUGGCUAAUCUGCCCUUAGGACGAGAACAACCCCGGGAAACUGGGGCUAAAUCUUGACAGGUGAAGAACUCUGGAAUGAGUCUUCGCUUAAAAAACUUCACGUUAUGCUCGUGA